UAUUUUGCAGUGACGAUACAAUUUGUGGACUAGAGUUUCUGAUUUGGGAAUCUUCGCCCAUUAAUUGAUUACAAACCCUUGGUUGUCUGAGCACUCUC